rnacentral:lncRNA from 1 species
CCUCCCUCCUUUUUAUAGUAAAGACGUUAUUUAACUGUAAAAAUGACAGCGCCACUCUGUCUCACUAUAUGUAGCCCAUGUAUUUGAUGCUGUCUUGCCAAAAAAAGAGUAUGACACUCUUUUUGGCCAGACAGCAUCAGAUACAUGGGCUACACAUAGAUGUCCUCUGCCUCGACGAAGAUUGCGGUAUUAUCAGCAGCACCUGUCUUUUUAACUAAGAAAUGCAUAUUGUAUACCCCUAGAGUCUUAGGGCCCGGCGCUAGGUUUCUACAAAGCUUGCCUCGUCGAGAACCAGGAUUCCCUUAUACAGGUUGGCAAUGUUGCUUUAACGGCUGUCGUGGUGAAUGGAUGACCAAAACGCAGACGGGAUGUGAAUGCUCAUCUUUCUAUUUAAUUAGAAUAAAAUGAACACCAAAAAACAAGAAACAAUAGACCGCCAGGAACCGUUAGCAGGCUAACAUAAAGCAGUGCUAAAAACAACAACCCACAAACCCCAGGUGAAAAACACACUCCUAAUAUAUGACUCCCAAUCAGGAACAACGAUAUCCAGCUGUUCCUGAUCAGGAGUCACAAGACUAACACAGAAACAGACAUACUAGAAAACACAUACAGACUUCUUCUGCCACGUCCUGACCAAAAUACUACACAACUACUCCCUCUGCUGGUCAGGACGUGAC